AAGAUACGUGGAAGGAGGAUCUGCCGUGCCAAACGCCAAAGGACAUUCUGCUUCCUUCCGCUUUGAACCCCCAGCUCAGGGCCCUGAAGACACUCAGCAGUUAGUGAGUGGGCUGGGUGACCUCAGGCAAGUGACAAGUCUGUUUUUGCCUCCAGACCUGUUUUUCCAUCUGUACAACGAGGAUAGUAUAAGCACCCGCCCACUAAGAUUGCUGCACUGAAAGUUCAAUACCUGCCUUCCCUUGUGGAAAACACAGCGGCAGGACCAUACUAGGUGCUCAAUAAACAUUUGUUGCCCGUAUCAAUACAGAUGAUCUAUUCCCCCCCCCCCCCCCCCCACCCUCAUCGUACAAGUGAGGACAAUGAAGCUCUGAGCAGCCCCCGGAGCUCUGAAGUUGGCGGGGAUCCCAAAUAGCUACGAAGACCUUUACAAAGUUACACUUACGUUUGGCUUUCCAAAAAUGAUCCCAAGCAGAGGAUGGGAGGGGUCCGGAUGCAGUGACCCCCGGUGGGGUCAAUCAGAAGAAACUUGCUAAUGUUGGCAUCGUAUGCAAGUACUGAUUGGGAGGGCAGCCAAGGGCAAUCCACCGCAGAGAAAUUUCACCCGAGGCCGCAGGACAGGGGUUGGGGGGGCUACACGAGAGACUGGUCGCCACCACGCCAUCUACGCUGGCAACAAGCUGAGUCCCUGUAAGGGUCUGCCCCUACAUAAACGGAGGGGCAAACUAUGGUGGACCCACACCAGGGCGCACCGUCGGGCAGUCCUAGAUGCGGACACGACAGCACGGGUGGAUGUUAAUAUCACAGCACCACGAAGGAAACAAUAAACAGGAUGCAACCCACAGCACCGUACCGUUCCGGUAAAUAAAAAAAACACAUGCACACAAAACAUGUUUUGCGGGGACAAAUAUAAAUAAAAGGACAUCAAACGGA